UACCGCCCAACUUUUCCCUCUUCUUCAAAAACCCAAAUUCCCUCUUUCUCAAAACCUAAUUUGAAGAUUCCACAUCAAAUUUUCCUCCCAACACCAUGGAUAGUUGGAUACGGUUCGGAGAUCACCCUCAAUAUCUGUCUACGAUGACAUUGAAAUUGACGGCGUUAAAGAGCUGUUGGGCACCCAGUUCCUGAUGAUGAUGACGCACACCAACAAUAACCAUUGUUCACGUUAGCCGGGAAGUAUGUUUUAUGAACCCGUCUACAAUUUCGCGGGCUGAUCAACGCAAACCCAAACCCAAACACAUCGAGGAUGCAAGUAGAGCGAUGGCAGACCGAUUGUAUAAAAGAAAGGACAAUGAUAUCAUCCUAUUGCCCUACAAUCCCGGGGCAAUGGCCAUGUAUGCUUCAGAAAGUGGUGCCAACACAAGGGUUAAACUCGUAUGGAUUAACUCUAGGGUAAGCACUUAAUCCCUUAUGUAAAUUGUGGUUGUAAUGAUAUUGUAAAUAUUAACACCCUUUAGUUUAAACUUAAAUCGCAAUGGUUUCACAUUUCUUGAUAUUUUUAAUUGUGGUAGUGUCCACGUCAGUCAGGAGGUACUGAAUGCGGCUACUAUGUGAUGAAGUUCAUGAAGGAGAUAGCUUACGAAGGAGUUGAAAUACUUGACAAUGAUAAUGUUGGGAAAGGAGUAGAAGAAUACUCGGCUGCGGAUAUGGAUGGCAUACGUGAAGAUUGGUCGACUUAUGUGGUUAACUCUCUUUUUAAGUUAUAAAUCGUAUUUUAGGUGUUGAUAAUGUAUUGACAAACAAUUCUUUUUUUUGUUAAUGUUAAAAUAUUUGUAGUAUACUUGACAAAUGAUCAUGUAAUGGAUUGUUUUGGUAUA